rnacentral:rRNA from 1 species
GACGAACGCUGGCGGAGUGCUUAACACAUGCAAGUCGAACGAAGAGCGACGGAAGCUUGCUUCUAUCAAUCUUAGUGGCGAACGGGUGAGUAACGCGUAAUCAACCUGCCCUUCAGAGGGGGACAACAGUUGGAAACGACUGCUAAUACCGCAUACGAUCUAAUCUCGGCAUCGAGGAUGGAUGAAAGGUGGCCUCUACAUGUAAGCUAUCACUGAAGGAGGGGAUUGCGUCUGAUUAGCUAGUUGGAGGGGUAACGGCCCACCAAGGCGAUGAUCAGUAGCCGGUCUGAGAGGAUGAACGGCCACAUUGGGACUGAGACACGGCCCAGACUCCUACGGGAGGCAGCAGUGGGGAAUCUUCCGCAAUGGACGAAAGUCUGACGGAGCAACGCCGCGUGAGUGAUGACGGCCUUCGGGUUGUAAAGCUCUGUUAAUCGGGACGAAAGGCCUUCUUGCGAAUAGUGAGAAGGAUUGACGGUACCGGAAUAGAAAGCCACGGCUAACUACGUG